rnacentral:lncRNA from 1 species
UGAUCUGCGAAUUCAUUUUCUAUGAAUUAAUAUCUAUAGGAUGUAAAAAAAUUAAUUUUAAUAUCUAUAGGUUCUGGGAGGAGAUCCUGAGCGGCACGAGCAAGCGAGAGGACGAGAGGUGAGAGAGCUCUGCGUUUAGGGUUUGUGAAAGUCCCACAGAGAUUUCCCAAAAGGGGGCAGAGAGAGUGAGAGAUUUAGAGAGACGAGAGAGAGAUUGUCUUUUUGUGUGUGGUCUAGGGUUUCUCGCUUCUCUUUUGUUACACCGAAGCCAUCUCCGACUCUCUCAUGGACCGAAAGCUUGUGGUUAGCUCUUUUUUUUUUUCUUUUCUUUUUUGAAUUUUAUUAACGGUGUAGAUGAUCAGCACAGGUUUUUCUCAAUCUGUCUCUGAUUAUGACUUCUCGAUUACUAAUUUUUAUUAAAAUACUCUGGGGCUUUCGAUCUAUAUUUUCUUUUUAUUAUUGCUCUUACACAUGCCUCUCACCAGGUGUUUUUACAGUUUGUCUAUGUAAAGUUGUUUGCCUAAGUUAUAGUUCCCUUACAUAAAUUUUUAUUGCGUGUUUCGUAUCACAUCAUUGUCGAUUUUUGAUGGUUACUAGAGAUCUUUUGUGCUUACGCAUGUGUCUCUGUACUUCCUCAUUUACUCGGUAUUAUCUCAUGAAGACAUUAAUAUAUACUACUUUCUGUCCUUUGUUUUGUGCCAUAAAAUUUUUGUAGUCAACAUUCACCUGGUUGGAGCAUGUUUGAACAUCUAUUGAAACUGAUUAAAUUAUAACUGUUUGUGAAUGUGGACUAUAAUUGUUAGCUUGGACUAUGAGACCAGUUGGAAGUCAUAAUUAGAAGUUCUCUCAAUAAGUUGAAGCAGCUUCGGCACCAAAUAAAUCUUGAAAAUUGAUCCCGUGUCAUUAGUUUUGAAAAUUAAACAGAGAAAAAAGAAAGAAUAGCCUUUUCUUUCCAUGAACCUAUGCUUCUGUAUAGAACAUGCUUGGAUAUAAAUCAAAUAUUUGAUGCCAGAACUCAUUCUUAUAAAGUUAUAUUGCAAGGUGUUAAUUUGAUGUCCUGGAAGCUCAUCCCUGCCACGACAUGUGUAGUCUACUUAGUUUUCUUAAUUAAUAGCCUAAAUUAGUUGCUGCCUGUUUUAGUUUUUGUUAUUUUUUUCUUACAUGUCACUGGAAAUUCUAUUAGUGUACUUGAUUUUAUUUGUUUUUUGUCUCCACGAAGGUGUCGUUUUCUUUUAGUUGGUCUAUCAUAAUUUUUGAUGUCUUAUUUUGUUUGCAAUUUUUUAAUUACAAAAUGGAUAAACUUUGUGGGGUUUAAUGAAAGUUUAUAGGGCUCUUAAAAAAUAUAUUUUUAGGAGGUUUUAAGAAAAUGUCCGACUUGGGUUCUGUUUGUUUGUUUUGCUUGUAUUUUGAUGCUAUUUUGUCUGUGUUUAUUUCGUGGUUUAGUUCACGCAUGUAUUUGGGAAUAUAGAGAGACAGGGUUUUUGGUUUUGGAAAUUUAACAUGUUUUGGUAUAACUUUCUAGGAUAGUGUUGUGUGGUAAUUCGUUUUUGUGUAUCAUAUUUUCUGGGUUUAUGCAUCUUAAACAAUUGCUUGAUUCAUAAACUACCCUCUUUUAACAUUAUUGCAGAAAAUUAAUUAAUCAAAGGGCAUCCUUGUCCCUUGCUCCUAUACAAUGCAACUUUUUGCUUUUUAUUGUUUGCUUUGGUAUGUUAAAUAUUGUGUUGGGAAUAUAACCUUCGAAGUGAACUCAAUGUGUUCAAUAAAAUUGUUUUCUUCUUUAUAUAUAAAAUAUCAAUAAAUGGGAACCAGACAUUGAGUGGUCAAACAUCUUACUUUAAUUAAUUUUAAUAUGCUUAUACAAUGAGGUUUGUAUAUCUUUCAUUUUUUGUAUUGUCACUGAGCAAAGGUCUGUCGUCUUUGAUUGAAACCGAAAUUGAUCAUGUUUGUUAGAUUUGAGAUAGCCAGUCUUGAUGGCCAUGCUAGGUCUUUUAUUUUCCUCACUUUCUUUUCUUUUCUUUUCUGUUCUUUUUCUUUUAUGGUGAAUUAGUUGAUUUCAUAUUAAUGUGCUUAAGUCUUUGGAAACAUGUAGUUUUAAUUUUUAAUUUUGGGGAAUAUGGUUUUGUACUAUGCGAAUAAGAUCUCUUCUUGUAAGUUCCCAUCCUCUUCCAUCAACUUUGUUGUUUUUGAACCCAAUAAUUUUUUAUUACAAAUUUCUGCAGAAUUUUUUAUUUUAUUUUAUUUUAUUGUGCUUUUAAAUUAUGAGAGCCACCUUGACUAGAAUAAAAGAGUUGGCUUAUGAAUAAAUAAUAGUGACAUAUAUGAUUUGUAUGAAAUUUCUCAAAUUCGAAGUCAAAACUGAGGGGAUGUUGUGCGAUUAAAGAGGUCUUUAUAUGUACAUAAAUAAAAGGUAACAUCUUUUUUAAUGCUAACAAAUUGUAUCGCUUAUUGUGAGGUGUUUAUAAGGAUUUGUUGUUGAUUUUUGUUUGUUUUGUAAUUGAUUUGUAUUAGCAUUUUAGCUAUUGGAAGUGUGAAAAGAGAUAUAUAGAUGCUUAGAUCUGAUGAAUUUAGUUUGAUGGCAAGAGAAAAAUACGACUUGCAGUUUUGAAUUUUGAUGAAGAUUGUUUCUGGGUAGAUUAUGUUUUCUAACAGGCUGAUUGGGAGAUUUAAGACCGAAGAAAGCAGUUCGUGAAUUGGUGACUUGCAAUGAAAUUGGGGAGAAGAGGGACUUGCACAAAAUGGCCCAUUAACUGGACAAUAUGAUAGUUAACUUGGUGAUGGCUUUUCAAAUUCAUGCUCGAUUUGCUGGUAAUAAUUGACAGAAGAAGCUCCGAUUCCUUCUACCACCAUCACUUUUUGGACUCGUGUUCUUUAGUGUGUACUCACAUUCUUAUGCAAUGAGU